UAAGUAAGUGGUGGAAAUUAAACCAAAUGGGAUAUCUUUAGUAAUUGCGAAUGAACAAGGAUAUGCUUAGCUUGACAAAUGGAGCUAUUGGCUUUGAAUUGUAUUUGUGGAAUGUAUUACCAACAGAGGUGCAGGUGCCAGCCUAUUAAAUAAAGCGUCAAUGAGGGUGAGAAUCCUGUUCGUCAUGUGCAGCCCUUUGUGCACGGUAUAUAUUUGCUGAGUCACACUCCUUGGCAUUGGAAUGCAAAGUGGGUGGUAAGUUUCAUGUACAGGUAAACAUGCAAUUGAGACUGAUAGCACACAAGUACCAUGAGGGAAAUAUGAAAAGGACUUUGAAAAGAGAAUUAAAUGAGUUUGUAUUUGCUGAACACAAAGUAAACAGACUUGAUUUGCUUGGUGGGAGUGUUGCACUUGCUUGACAAGAGCUUUGGGCUGUGGGUGUAAUGAUUCUUUCUUUGCAUGCCAGUUUCUAUGUGUACAUCUGAUUACCUUUGCACAUGAAUGAUAAGUCUCCUGUGGGGGGUGGAUUGCAUGUGCAUGUAAUGAUUUGUGUUUUGAUAAAUAUGUCUGGUGUAUGUGUGUGUGUUCCUGUGCUUGGGGAUGCUUCCUUCCUUGGACUUACAAGCCCUGGCACACACAUGCUGGCAAAAUGCUUCUGCUUGACCCG
rnacentral:rRNA from 1 species